GACGAACGCUGGCGGCGUGCUUAACACAUGCAAGUCGAACGGUGACGAGGAGCUUGCUCCUCCGAUCAGUGGCGAACGGGUGAGUAACACGUGAGUAACCCUGCCCCAGACUCUGGGAUAACAGUUGGAAACAGCUGCUAAUACCGGAUACGAGACGGAGAGGCAUCUCUACCGUCUGGAAAGUUUUUCGGUCUGGGAUGGACUCGCGGCCUAUCAGCUUGUUGGUGAGGUAAUGGCUCACCAAGGCGACGACGGGUAGCCGGCCUGAGAGGGCGACCGGCCACACUGGGACUGAGACACGGCCCAGACUCCUACGGGAGGCAGCAGUGGGGAAUAUUGCACAAUGGGCGAAAGCCUGAUGCAGCGACGCCGCGUGAGGGAUGACGGCCUUCGGGUUGUAAACCUCUUUCAGCAGGAAAGAAGCGAAAGUGACGGUACCUGCAGAAGAAGCACCGGCUAACUACGUG
rnacentral:rRNA from 1 species